CGGAGGAUCCAAGCGUUAUCCGGAAUCAUUGGGUUUAAAGGGUCCUAGGCGGGUUUAUAAGUCAGUGGUGAAAGCCCAUCGCUCAACGAUGGAACGGCCAUUGAUACUGUAGAUCUUGAAUUAUUAGGAAGUAACUAGAAUAUGUAGUGUAGCGGUGAAAUGCUUAGAGAUUACAUGGAAUACCAAUUGCGAAGGCAGGUUACUACUAAUGGAUUGACGCUGAUGGACGAAAGCGUGGGUAGCGAACAGGAUUAGAUACCCUGGUAGUCCACGCCGUAAACGAUGGAUACUAGCUGUUCGGAGCAAUCUGAGUGGCUAAGCGAAAGUGAUAAGUAUCCCACCUGGGGAGUACGUUCGCAAGAAUG
rnacentral:rRNA from 1 species